rfam:Xenorhabdus beddingii strain DSM 4764 Xbed_7, whole genome shotgun sequence.
AGGGUAAGUUGUUCUACGUCUCAAUGGCAACUUUUGCGCAAGGCUCUUUGAUAGAGCCAUUUUCCCUAGGCCGAGUAAAGGAGUGGACUCGGCCUUUUUUU